UCGAGCGGUAGAGAGAAGCUUGCUUCUCUUGAGAGCGGCGGACGGGUGAGUAAUGCCUAGGAAUCUGCCUGGUAGUGGGGGAUAACGUUCGGAAACGGACGCUAAUACCGCAUACGUCCUACGGGAGAAAGCAGGGGACCUUCGGGCCUUGCGCUAUCAGAUGAGCCUAGGUCGGAUUAGCUAGUUGGUGAGGUAAUGGCUCACCAAGGCGACGAUCCGUAACUGGUCUGAGAGGAUGAUCAGUCACACUGGAACUGAGACACGGUCCAGACUCCUACGGGAGGCAGCAGUGGGGAAUAUUGGACAAUGGGCGAAAGCCUGAUCCAGCCAUGCCGCGUGUGUGAAGAAGGUCUUCGGAUUGUAAAGCACUUUAAGUUGGGAGGAAGGGCAUUAACCUAAUACGUUAGUGUUUUGACGUUACCGACAGAAUAAGCACCGGCUAACUCUGUGCCAGCAGCCGCGGUAAUACAGAGGGUGCAAGCGUUAAUCGGAAUUACUGGGCGUAAAGCGCGCGUAGGUGGUUUGUUAAGUUGGAUGUGAAAUCCCCGGGCUCAACCUGGGAACUGCAUUCAAAACUGACUGACUAGAGUAUGGUAGAGGGUGGUGGAAUUUCCUGUGUAGCGGUGAAAUGCGUAGAUAUAGGAAGGAACACCAGUGGCGAAGGCGACCACCUGGACUAAUACUGACACUGAGGUGCGAAAGCGUGGGGAGCAAACAGGAUUAGAUACCCUGGUAGUCCACGCCGUAAACGAUGUCAACUAGCCGUUGGAAGCCUUGAGCUUUUAGUGGCGCAGCUAACGCAUUAAGUUGACCGCCUGGGGAGUACGGCCGCAAGGUA
rnacentral:rRNA from 1 species